UAUGAAGAGACCGGUGCAAGCGAGGUAGGAGUCUGAAAGGCAAAACCGUCAGACAAUCCGAAGACGUGAUGCGCAGCGAACUGAAGUAGCGAAGCUUCGGCCCCUAACUGCCAAGAAAAGCCGCUAUUGUUUGCAUGACACCCGUACCGUAAACCGACACAGGUGGAUGAGGAGAGAAUCCUAAGGCCGACGGGAGAAGCAUUGUUAAGGAACUCGGCAAAAUGACCCCGUAACUUCGGGAGAAGGGGUGCCUCGAAAGAGGCCGCAGAGAAUUGGCCCAAGCAACUGUUUAGCAAAAACACAGGUCUAUGCAAAACCGAAAGGUGAGGUAUAUGGGCUGACGCCUGCCCGGUGCUGGAAGGUUAAGAGGAGAGCUUAGCGCAAGCGAAGGUUUGAAUUUAAGCCCCAGUAAACGGCGGCCGUAACAAUAACGGUCCUAAGGUAGCGAAAUUCCUUGUCGGGUAAGUUCCGACCCGCACGAAAGGCGUAAUGAUUUGGGCGCUGUCUCGACAAUGCACCCGGUGAAAUUGAAGUACCAGUGAAGAUGCUGGUUACCCGCGCCAGGACGGAAAGACCCCAUGGAGCUUUACUCUAGCUUGAUACUGGGAUUCGGUAUUGUCUGUACAGGAUAGGUGGGAGGCUAUGAACCGUGGACGCCAGUCUGCGGGGAGCCGCUGUUGGGAUACCACCCUUACAAUACUGGAUUUCUAACCUGCCGCCAUGACCUGGCGGAGGGACAAUGUCUGGUGGGGAGUUUGACUGGGGCGGUCGCCUCCGAAAGAGUAUCGGAGGCGCUCAAAGGUCCUCUCAGGAUGGACGGAAACCAUCCGAAGAGUGCAAAGGCAUAAGAGGGCUUGACUGUGACACCGACGGGUGGAGCAGGUACGAAAGUAGGACUUAGUGAUCCGGUGGUAGAAAGUGGGAUUGCCAUCGCUCAACGGAUAAAAGCUACCCCUGGGAUAACAGGCUUAUCACUCCCAAGAGUUCACAUCGACGGAGUGGUUUGGCACCUCGAUGUCGGCUCAUCGCAUCCUGGGGCUGUAGCAGGUCCCAAGGGUUGGGCUGUUCGCCCAUUAAAGCGGUACGCGAGCUGGGUUCAGAACGUCGUGAGACAGUUCGGUCCCUAUCCGGCGCGGGCGUAGGAUAUUUGAGAGGAGCUGUCCUUAGUACGAGAGGACCGGGAUGGACGAACCGCUGGUGGAUCGGUUGCAUUAUCAAGUGCAUGGCCGAGUAGCCAAGUUCGGAAGGGAUAAACGCUGAAGGCAUCUAAGCGUGAAGCCCCCCUCAAGAUGAGAUAUCCCAUUCUUUAAAAGAAGUAAGACCCCUUGAAGACCACGAGGUAGAUAGGGCAGAGGUGGAAGUACGGUAACGUAUGGAGCUGACUGUCACUAAUCGGUCGAGGGCUUGAUC
rnacentral:rRNA from 1 species